CAAAAAUAGCCGAGAGAGAGAGAGAGAGUGUGUGUGGAGAGAAGGUGAUUUCGAAGGAGACCAAGGAGAAGAAAGCUUGAAUCAAGAGUUUGGAACUUGUAUAAGCUUGGUUUUCAAGAUUUCUUCAAGAUUGAGAUUUGAGCUUGCAUUGAAGUGUGGAGAUAGGAGGAGAGGUGGUUGAGCUAGGGUUUGAAGAUUUGGGGCAAGGUGAGUGAUUUACCUUGAAAUUAUGAGAUAACUAUAAGUAGUUGGCUUGGAAAGUAACAAUUUUGAGAUUGAAAUUGAAUUGUAAAUGUGUGUAUGGUUUAGGUUGAUUGAGCCUGGAGGAAUUGUGGUAUUUAGCCUAAACGAGGUAGGGAUUUUCUUAACCCUUAAUCUCAAAACACUAUUGGCUACGCGAAUUGUGUUAAAUUCAUUAGUUUCUGCCUUUUUGGUCAAGGGGAAACAAACCCUAGUUUGUAUGUUAUUGUGAACUCAAAUUUGCUAUAUUGUGUGUUUGAUGUUGAAUGCAUUACCCAUGGACACUCGAUCAUCUAUCGAGUAGUCGAUGCUCUUGAUCACAUGUUUAAAGAAAUUGCGCGCAAUAAAUUUAGUUGCAUAACAUUCAUGUGUGAUGUUGCAUUUGUUACAUGGUGGAAGUGGGGAAUUGGAUUUUGGUAUGUACGUCAACGUGUACUAGUGGUUCCGGUUAUUUGGCUCUAGUGACACGGUUGAUGGUACUUGUAUGAACAUGCACUAGUGGUUCAGGUUAAUUGGCUCUAGUGGCAUGUUAUGGAGUAUUUGGGAGAGCAUGUGCUAGUGGUUCUGGUUAAUUGGCUCUGGCGACAUGGCUCGGUUAGAUGUAUGGAUUGCAUUUGUUUGACAACAUGGCAUAUUGUUGCAUUGCGUUAUUUCUUUAUAAUAUUCUGGCCUGAUUUCUUAUUUUAGACUCCUAUUUGAUAUCCCUACUGAGCCUCCUGCUCACCGUUUUAUUUUCCCC